rnacentral:rRNA from 1 species
CCUACGGGAGGCAGCAGUGAGGAAUAUUGGUCAAUGGGCGCGAGCCUGAACCAGCCAAGUCGCGUGAGGGAAGACGGUCCUAUGGAUUGUAAACCUCUUUUGUCGGGGAGCAAAAGACGCCACGCGUGGCGUUCCGUGAGUACCCGAUGAAAAAGCAUCGGCUAACUCCGUUCCAGCCGCCGCGGUAAUACGGGGGAUGCGAGCGUUAUCCGGAUUUAUUGGGUUAAAAGGGUGCGCAGGCGGAAGAUCAAGUCAGCGGUAAAAUUGAGGGGCUCAACCUCGUCGAGCCGUUGAAACUGGUUUUCUUGAGUGAGUGAGAGGUAUGCGGAAUGCGUGGUGUAGCGGUGAAAUGCAUAGAUAUCACGAAGAACUCCGAUUGCGAAGGCAGCAUACCGGCGCUCAACUGACGCUCAUGCACGAAAGUGUGGGUAUCGAACAGGAUUAGAUACCCGAGUAGUC